rnacentral:rRNA from 1 species
GAUGAACGCUGGCGGCGUGCCUAAUACAUGCAAGUCGAGCGAACAGACGAGGAGCUUUCUCCCCUGCCGUUAGCGGCGGACGGGUGAGUAACACGUGGAUAACCUUCCUCUAAGACUUGGAUAACUUCGGGAAACCGGAGCCAAUACUGGAUCAUAUAUUGAACCGCAUGGUUCAAUAGUGCAUGACGGUUUUGCUGUCACUUUUAGAUGGAUCCGCGCCGCAUUAGCUAGUUGGUAAGGUAACGGCUUACCAAGGCAACGAUGCGUAGCCGACCUGAGAGGAUGAUCGGCCACACUGGAACUGAGACACGGUCCAGACUCCUACGGGAGGCAGCAGUAGGGAAUCUUCCGCAAUGGGCGAAAGCCUGACGGAGCAACGCCGCGUGGGUGAUGAAGGUCUUCGGAUCGUAAAACUCUGUUAUUAGGGAAGAACAAAUGUGUAAGUAACUAUGCACGUCUUGACGGUACCUAAUCAGAAAGCCACGGCUAACUACGUG